ACAUGCGGCGAGGGAGCUGUGUUCUCUCUGCUCCCUUGCACGGGCUGUCUACUGAUGCCGGGAGCCAGAAUAUGAUGCCACAUGUCGGCUCCCGGCAUCAGCAAACAGCACGCAAGGGAGCAGAGAGAACACAGCUCCCUCG